UGGGGAAUUUUGGACAAUGGGGGCAACCCUGAUCCAGCCAUGCCGCGUGUCUGAAGAAGGCCUUCGGGUUGUAAAGGACUUUUGUCAGGGAGGAAAUCCCUAAGGUUAAUACCCUUGGGGGAUGACAGUACCUGAAGAAUAAGCACCGGCUAACUACGUGCCAGCAGCCGCGGUAAUACGUAGGGUGCAAGCGUUAAUCGGAAUUACUGGGCGUCAAGCGUGCGCAGGCGGUUUGAAAAGUCAGCUGUGAAAGCCCCGGGCUCAACCUGGGAACUGCUGUUGAAACUCGCAAGCUAGAGUGCGUCAGAGGGGGGUGGAAUUCCACGUGUAGCAGGGAAAUGCGUAGAGAUGUGGAGGAACACCAAUGGCGAAGGCAGCCCCCUGGGAUGACACUGACGCUCAUGCACGAAAGCGUGGGGAGCAAACA
rnacentral:rRNA from 1 species